GACGAACGCUGGCGGCGUGCUUAACACAUGCAAGUCGAACGGAAAGGCCCUGCUUUUGUGGGGUGCUCGAGUGGCGAACGGGUGAGUAACACGUGAGUAACCUGCCCUUGACUUUGGGAUAACUUCAGGAAACUGGGGCUAAUACCGGAAAGGAGCUCCUGCUGCUGGGUGGGGGUUGGAAGGUUUCGGCGGUUGGGGAUGGACUCGCGGCUAAUCAGCUUGUUGGUGGGGUAGUGGCUUACCAAGGCUUUGACGGGUAGCCGGCCUGAGAGGGUGACCGGCCACAUUGGGACUGAGAUACGGCCCAGACUCCUACGGGAGGCAGCAGUGGGGAAUAUUGCACAAUGGGCGGAAGCCUGAUGCAGCAACGCCGCGUGCGGGAUGACGGCCUUCGGGUUGUAAACCGCUUUCGCCUGUGACGAAGCGUGAGUGACGGUAAUGGGUAAAGAAGCACCGGCUAACUACGUG
rnacentral:rRNA from 1 species